rnacentral:tRNA from 1 species
GCUGGGAUAGCUCAAUGGUAGAGCAACAGUUUUGUAAACUGUAGGUUCCGGGUUCAAGCCCCGGUCCCAGCUCCA